rnacentral:rRNA from 1 species
GGAUCUACCCUAGAGAGGGGGAUAACCCGGGGAAACUCGGGCUAAUACCGCAUAUACUCUACGGAGGAAAGAAUGGGCUCUUCGGACCAUUCACUCUAGGAUGAACCUGCGUCGGAUUAGCUUGUUGGUGGGGUAAAGGCCUACCAAGGCGAGGAUCUGUAGCUGGUCUGAGAGGACGAACAGCCACACUGGGACUGAGACACGGCCCAGACUCCUACGGGAGGCAGCAGUGGGGAAUAUUGGACAAUGGGCGAAAGCCUGAUCCAGCAAUGCCGCGUGUGUGAAGAAGGCCUGAGGGUUGUAAAGCACUUUCAGCGGGGAGGAAGGAUAUUUGUCGAAUAGGCAAAUGUUUUGACGUUACCCGCAGAAGAAGCACCGGCUAACUCUGUGCCAGCAGCCGCGGUAAUACAGAGGGUGCAAGCGUUAAUCGGAAUGACUGGGCGUAAAGGGCGUGUAGGUGGAUAGAUAAGUUAUGUGUGAAAUAUCCGGGCUUAACCUGGAGAGGCCAUGUAAUACUGUUUAUCUAGAGUAGAGCAGAGGGAAGUAGAAUUUCCGGUGUAGCGGUGAAAUGCGUAGAGAUCGGAAGGAAUACCAGUGGCGAAGGCGGCUUCCUGGGCUCAUACUGACACUGAGGCGCGAAAGCGUGGGUAGCAAACAGGAUUAGAUACCCUGGUAGUCCACGCUGUAAACGAUGAGAACUAGAUGCUUGCUCAUUGAGAGUGAGUAUCGAAGCUAACGCAUUAAGUUCUCCGCCUGGGGAGUACGGUCGCAAGAUUA